rnacentral:misc_RNA from 1 species
UGCUGAGAGCUGGCUGGCAAAGGAGGCAACGACACGAGUCGGCCUUUGUGUGUGACUUAUGUGUGUCUUUGGCUUAACGUCGAAGGCCUCGUAGGCCGCCUCCCGAGUGGGGACUUCGWUGUGGCUUUUGCCUCAUCGGGGAAACUGCGCCAAGAGUUUAGAUCAUACUCGUCCGUCGACGCAUUCUAAUCGUGUUGGCGAUCAGAUUGUUGAGAUCAAACAAUGAUCGGUGGGUUUCGAUGAUUUCUUGUUCGAUCAAGCACUCUUGAUUGAUUGCUUGUUGAGAACAACAAGGGGGGUGCUGAGAUUGGCUGGCAAGUGGGCAAAGACACGAGUCUGCCUUUGUGCUUUACUUCUGUGUGUCUUUCGCUUGACGUCGAAAAUCUCGUAGGCCGCCUCCCGAGUGGGGACUUUGUUGUGGCUUUUGCCUCAUCGGGGAAACUGCGCCAAGAGUUGAUCAUUCUCGUUUUGCGACGCAUUCUCAUCGUGCUGGCGAUGAUGCCGAGAACAAACAAUGAUCGGUGGGUUUUGAUGAUUUCUUGUUCGAUCAUGCACUCUUGAUUGAUUGCUUGUUGAGAACACCAAGGGGGGUGCUGAGACUGGUUGGCAAGUGGGCAAAGCACGAGUCUGCCUUUGUGCUYGACUUUUGUGUGUCUUUYGCCUGACGUCGAAGGUCUCGUAGGCCGCCUUCCAAGUGGGGACUUCGUUGUGGCUUUUGUCUCGUCGGGGAAACUGCGCCAAGAGUUGAUCAUUCUCGUUCGUUGAUGCUUUCUCUUCGCACAUGCCUGUGCUAGCGACUAGAUUGUUGAGAACAUAAUGGUUAGUGGGUUUUGAUGAUUUAUUUUUUUCUCGUAUCGUGCGGUGCAUUUUGGAGUCGUUUUYGGCUUUCGACUGUUUGCUUGGCCUUCGAGCCACGCAGGCGGCUGAUUGCUGUGGCGGUUUCGGGGAUGUUUAUCGUAAAGGUGCAUGAGUGGUGUUUGGAUUGAUACGGGUGGUCGGCUCCCUGCUUGAGCAGGCACGGCCAUGCGUACAUUCCUCUUCAGUUAUUCGACAAGGCUUGUAUUGCCUUGACCAUAUAUGUGGGUUUCCUGUGUUGCAUACCUGAUCAAUGGCAUCGUCUUGAUCAAAACAGUCCCUUUUUCGUCAAGCGCCGCUCUCGUGACGUCGGACGAACCAAGUAGCACCCUUUUUGAUCCAUCUCGUUGAUGAGCAUUUGUUGAUGGUUUGGCCCAUUGAGGGAUGCUUGGUCUCUUGGAUAUGGAAGCCAAAGUGGGCAUGGGUUCGUAUGAUCCUUUUACUGCCCUCGUUGAGCGUUCUCGCUUCUUUAAAACGACUGCCUCUCACGUAUGGCACGUCCCAGCGUGUUUGGCUAUGUCGAAGAGGAAUGC